ensembl:lncRNA
GAAUUAAACAGAUGAACUAUAGUCCUAGACCAUUAAAAAUGAACCAAUCUGCUGGACAGCUUCCAAGUGCUCUGCGCUGAGCGCCCCAAAAAGGUGCUAGGUUCCAGCGGGGUUUUAUGUCCUCAUUUUCUGCCAAUAAUUCCUCUUCUCUGAGAAUGUGGAGGAAUAAUUUGAUGAAAAGGCUGCUCACAUUCCACGACUUGGGGCCAGCCCUGCCCUGGCUUAGGGGGUUGUGCUAAUUUAGAAGCUUGGAGUGCGGGGGGGUGCGGGACAGAGCUGACAGCCAAGUGGGUCUGGGGGUCCAUUAACUGCCCCCUGGCAAUGUUUCCUUCUCCAGGAGUUCAAGAGAGUUCCCCAUCUGCACCCCACAAGCCUCAGAGGAGGGGCACAGUUGACUGUUACCUUCCUUUACAAAUGAGGAAACUGAGGCUCCAGAGUCCAGGGUGCAUGGAGGCGGUCACACCAAUGGGUCCAGUGUAUCUAGGUGCAAAAGGAUGCGAGAUCUUCCAAAUCCUGCUUCUGUCCCACUCCUUAUGUCUCUCUGAGCAUCCGGUUCCUACACACCUUCACCCCACCCUUCCAUGACGUCUGUCCCUCAGGCUCUGCCACCUCCUUGAUUCCUGGCCCAGCCAGUUGCUCCUCCUCUCUGAGAGCCUGUCUCCAUCCGCAAACCUGUAGUUCAGGGGUGCACUUUCAGAGUCAGGCUAGACUGGGAGUCAGCAGACCCGGCUUGAAUCCCAACUCUGCUGCUUACGAUCCAUGCAGCUUUUAGAAAUCUCUUCCCCUCACUGAGCUUCAGUUUCCUCAACUGUACCUUAGGACUUAAAAAGUCAGAGUGUUCCUCAAAGGCCCCCUCUGCCUCUAGCACCCCACCUGCCACCAAAAUCCUUUCCAACGUGCACUUAACAUCUUUCCAACUUUAGAACUCAGCAGCAGGGUAAGAGACAACUCUCAUUUAAUCCAUCCGCAAAACGAGCACAUUUAGUUUGCCUUAUAUUGAUGAUUAUAAGGCUUAAUAUCAACACAGAAUGAUAAUAUUACUUAAGCCUACCGAACUUUGCAUGUGUAACUUUCCAGUAAAUAAAGCACAUCACUGCAAUUGUUUCACGGGUACUCAUCCAGCAAAACUGCCUGGAAACCAUACUACUGGGGACUUCUAGGCACUGGGGACUCACCUGUGACAAAACACACGCUCUCUGAUCUCAAGAAUAUCAGCAGCUUACAUCCACUAACCUCAUUUUACAGAGGAGGAAACUGAGGCUGAGAGGGCUUGGAUAACUCACUCAGGAGGCAGAGCCUACAUCUGACCCCAGAGUCUGUAAGAAGGAGCCUAUGGCAACGCCUGCUAGGGACAAAAACCUGUGAGCCUCCCACCCCGUCCCAGGAUCCACCACCAAGGACUUAAGCCCAAGGCAGGGCCAGGCACAGUGGCUCAAGCCUGUAGUCUUAGCUACUCCGGAGGCUGAGGCAGGAGGAUCGCUUGAGCCCAGGAGUUUGAGGCUGCAGUGAGCUGUGAUCACACCACCGCUCUCCAGCUUAGGCCACGGAGCAAGACCCUGUCAAAAAAAGGAAAAAAAAAAAAA